UACGUAGGGCGCAAGCGUUGUCCGGAAUUAUUGGGCGUAAAGAGCUCGUAGGCGGCUUGUCACGUCGGGUGUGAAAGCCCGGGGCUUAACCCCGGGUCUGCAUCCGAUACGGGCUAGCUAGAGUGUGGUAGGGGAGAUCGGAAUUCCUGGUGUAGCGGUGAAAUGCGCAGAUAUCAGGAGGAACACCGGUGGCGAAGGCGGAUCUCUGGGCCAUUACUGACGCUCAGGCGCGACAGCGUGGGGAUCAAACAGG
rnacentral:rRNA from 1 species